AAAACAGAUGAUCACAAGUUCGCCUUACUCUCCGGUAAAGAGGAGCCAAAUUUGUCAUCUCUCAAGUCACCAAAGCGACCUAACUGCCCACCUGAAGAUGAAACUUUUAUUGUGGAGAAUGACAAAAGAAAAAGAAAAAG